rnacentral:rRNA from 1 species
UACGUAGGUGGCAAGCGUUAUCCGGAAUUAUUGGGCGUAAAGCGCGCGCAGGCGGUUUCUUAAGUCUGAUGUGAAAGCCCACGGCUCAACCGUGGAGGGUCAUUGGAAACUGGGGAACUUGAGUGCAGAAGAGAAAAGCGGAAUUCCACGUGUAGCGGUGAAAUGCGUAGAGAUUUGGAGGAACACCAGUGGCGAAGGCGACUUUCUGGUCUGUAACUGACACUGAGGCGCGAAAGCGUGGGGAGCAAACAGA